CACGCCCUAAACGAUGCGCACUAGGCGUUGGGGACGGAGACUUUCUUAGUACCGCAGCUAACGCGUGAAGUUCGCCGCCUGGGGAGUACGGUCGCAAGAUUAAAACUCAAAGGAAUUGACGGGGACCCGCACAAGCGGUGGAUGAUGUGGAUUAAUUCGAUGCAACGCGAAAAACCUUACCUACCCUUGACAUGUCAGGAAUUCUGCUGAGAGGUGGAAGUGCCCGAAAGGGAACCUGAACACAGGUGC
rnacentral:rRNA from 1 species